rnacentral:sRNA from 1 species
CGCCAAGUCCGAGGCCCCGGUGCUCACCGGGGUCUGGUGCACAAGGGA